CAGCAGCCGCGGUAAUACGGAGGGUGCAAGCGUUAAUCGGAAUUACUGGGCGUAAAGCGUGCGCAGGCGGUUCGUUAAGACAGAUGUGAAAUCCCCGGGCUUAACCUGGGAACUGCAUUUGUGACUGGCGAGCUAGAGUAUGGCAGAGGGGGGUAGAAUUCCACGUGUAGCAGUGAAAUGCGUAGAGAUGUGGAGGAAUACCGAUGGCGAAGGCAGCCCCCUGGGCCAAUACUGACGCUCAUGCACGAAAGCGUGGGGAGCAAACAGGAUUAGAUACCCCUGUAGUCCCUGUCUCUUAUAU
rnacentral:rRNA from 1 species